GAUGGUCACGCGGCCAAGCAA
rnacentral:misc_RNA from 1 species